CAGAUCUCUUCGUGACUUCUCC
rnacentral:snRNA from 1 species